rfam:Ictidomys tridecemlineatus contig035484, whole genome shotgun sequence.
GGUGCUGUGGUUCAGUGGUAAAACGCUUGCCUAGCAUGCAUGAAGCACUGGGUUUGAUUCUCAGCACAUUA